rnacentral:rRNA from 1 species
GUUGUCCGGAAUUAUUGGGCGUAAAGAGCUCGUAGGCGGUCUGUCGCGUCGAUCGUGAAAACUUGGGGCUUAACCCUGAGCUUGCGGUCGAUACGGGCAUGACUGGAGUUCGGCAGGGGAGACUGGAAUUCCUGGUGUAGCGGUGAAAUGCGCAGAUAUCAGGAGGAACACCGGUGGCGAAGGCGGGUCUCUGGGCCGAUACUGACGCUGAGGAGCGAAAGCGUGGGGAGCGAACAGG